GCCCGGGUGGCGAAAUUGGUAGACGCACCAGAUUUAGGUUCUGGCGCCGCAAGGCGUGGGGGUUCGAGUCCCUUCCCGGGCACCA
rnacentral:tRNA from 2 species